GGUUUUCCUUUGUGCUUGAUCUAACCAUGUGGUUGCGAGGUAUGUGUAAAACAUGGUUCUGUCAAGCACCAUGGAACGUCUUGCAGUGUUCUACAGCAUGACAGGCUAC
ensembl:miRNA mir218a-2 microRNA 218-1